rnacentral:rRNA from 1 species
GACGGAGGGUGCAAGCGUUGUUCGGAAUUAUUGGGCGUAAAGGGCUCGUAGGCGGCUCCGCCAGUCUGACGUGAAAUCUCCACCGCUCACCGGGGAGGGGCCGUUGAAUACUACGGAUCUGGAGUUCGGUAGAGGACCAUGGAAUUUCGGGUGUAGCGGUGAAAUGCGUAGAUAUCAGGAGGAACACCUGUGGCGAAAGCGGCGCACUGGACCACAACUGACGCUGAGGCGCGAAAGCUAGGGGAGCAAACAGG